AUUAUGAACAGUUUAGCAGACACGCUAUACAAUGUGUAUAGUACUACGAAAAUUGCUAAGGAAUUGUGGGAGUCUUUGGACCGAAAUUAUGAAACUGAGGAUGCCAGGACUAAAAAGUUCAUUGUUGGCAGAUUCUUAGAUUACAAAAUGGUGGACUCCAAAACAGUUAUUAGUCAAGUGCAAGAACUCCAAGUGAUUUUUCACGAAAUUCAUGCUGAAUGAAUGAUUUUGAGUUAAAACUUUUCCAGUGGCUGCAAUUAUUGAAAAAUUGCCCCACGCAUGGAAAGAUUUCAAAAAUUAUUUGAAGCACAAGCGAAAGGAAAUGAACGUCGAAUAACUAAUUGUUAGAUUUCAAAUUGAAGAAGACAACAAGAGCUCUGAAAAGAAAUUGUUCAAUCCUG
rnacentral:lncRNA from 1 species